GGGCGUCCGCGCCAAGCGUUGCGUCGCCAAGGGCCCGCCGUCGGAAGGUGGUGGGUCCUGGGCGGACAAGGAGGGGUGUACGGCCCAGGUCCGAAAGGGAGCAGGCAAAAACCCCCGCGCGACGCAGUGGCCGGAUAGCGCCCGUGAGUGCUCGCGCUGUCGUGGCCUCUCCAACACCUUCAGACCUCCAAUCGUU
rfam:Necator americanus N_americanus-1.0_Cont67323.1, whole genome shotgun sequence.